rnacentral:lncRNA from 1 species
GCUUAAGCCCAGGAAUUUGAGAUCAGCCUGGACAACAUGGUCAAGGAAGCUUUUCCUGAUCCACUAACUAAGGACAAUCAAACCCUUCAUGAUCUAGAAUCUGGAGACUGUGUCUUCUGGGAAUAGUAUCAGAGAAAGACUGCCCUUACUGCCCACAUGUAGCAAAACUUUGAGACGUUGAAUUAUGGGUCCAUAAUCUCACAACUCAGAGGGGCACCUCUAGACUCUUGGAACUGUAUAUCUAUUGGAGACUUUAAGGUAAAGCUGAACAGAGAGACGUUUUUCUCCAGAAGCAGACAGCACCAUAGUCAUGGACAGCUUUCCCAAGAUCACAGAUCAAGACUUCUCUGCCGUCAUGAGACUCAUAACCUCUUAAUUUUUUCUUGCUUAUGCUUCUGUGAACAAUAGAAUUGGAAAAGGGGUGGUCCCGCGUGCACCCAUAGGGUAUACUUUUAUUUGUGGAGGAUUUUGCUGCCAACCUUAUACAUGGGCAAACUUAUGCCUUCAUGGAUGGAAGAUAAAGGGCUAAUAUGGGUUAGAAAUUUUAAUGGUACCUUUGUUUCUCCAUAAUCAUUCAGAAACAGAACACUGGUCCACUCUUGUUAACCUACAUCAUAGGUUGAAGAGAACAUUGCCAGGAGGCCUUCAUCCUUCCAGAUGGGCACCAUUUGUUGGGUCUUUUUCCGUGGUAUGAAGAAAAUGAAGCAAUGAUUAGAAAUUGGUCCCUCGGCCGGGCACAAUGGCUCAUGCCUGUAAUCCCAUCACUUUGGCAGGCCGAGGCGGGUGGAUCACCUGAGGUCAGGAGUUUGAGACCAGCCUGACCAAUGUGGUGAAACGCCAUCUCUACUAAAAAUACAAAAAUUAGCUGGGUGUGAUGGUGCACACCUGUAAUCCAGCUACUCGGGAGGCUGAGACAGGAGAAUUGCUUGAACCUGGGAGGCAGAGGUUGCAGUGAGCCAAGAUCACCCCACUGCAUUCCAGGUUGGGCAACAGAGCAAGACUCUGUCUCAAAAAAAAAAGAAGAAAGAAAGAAAUUGAUCCCUCAUAAUAGGCUGUAUAGCAGAUUCUACUGCAAAGGCUAUGGUUGCACAACAGACUUCUUUGAAUUUGCUUGCUAAACUUUUACUGGAUAAUACUGGGAUUACAGGUGUGAGCCACUGUGCCCAGCCUCUCCUGUUUAACUGUAUUCAUUCUAAUGUUUACUUACUUCUUUAAUUUGUAAAAUUGGGUCACUUAGAGUUUUUUUAGCCUAUCUUGCCAUUUAGCCACUGUUACUGAUAAUUUGGAUGGAAAAGAAAAAUAAAUUAUAUCACCUCUCA